rnacentral:lncRNA from 1 species
GGGUGGAGAACACCUAAUUUAGGUGGUCAGAUCCUGAUAUAACAGUAAGUUCACCAUGUCAGCCUAGUAAAAUCCAAUCUAAACACCAUAAAAUUUACAAAAUAAAAUAAAAAAAAGCAUGCUCAGUUAAAUCCUGCCUAUAGAUUAUAGAACUGUGAAAUGCCUAAACGAUGAUAUGCUAACACCUUCUACAAGCAUUCUGUCACUUAGCUGGUGGCAAAAUAACAACUCAAUCAACCAUGUUUAUCAAUAUAGAAGUUAUGUGGUUGUGUCGAUAUAAAAGACGAUGCACAAUAGUACCUUGGGUGGCAUCAGGAAGAUAGCCUUUCUGGAGGUGGCUCAGGCUUGUCCUGCAAACAACCCAUUACAAAUAUCGGCAACAAACCAUGCGCGUGCGCGCGCGCACACACACACAUACAAGGAAAGAGAACCAUUGGUCUUCAGUUAUUUCCAUGUAAACAGAUUUUGAACGACAAUGUGAGAAUAUGAGGACAUAAAUGUUGUAACACGAUCACAAAUAACAGUACAGGAAACAUAAACAUUCAUGUAGCUACCCUGUUAAAUACUAUUCCCACUCAACAGCUAUCCCAUAGAUAGAAAGGCGAACAACAAGGAACACAUGUAUGAGAUAAAUGGUGACCUACAGUCUUAUGUAGGCGCAUCAAUAAACAACACAACAUUCCUGGAGAAAAGAGAGAAUGCAAGAAAAUACAUACAAAUGUAUUGAGUCAAUAAUCAAAUAACAUACUUCUUAUUGUCUAUUUUGCUUGUAAUAACAAAGCCAAAACCAUUUGCUAUUUCAAACGUAAACUCACGCAUCUCUUUUACAAAUUAGACAAGAGCACCUACCAUCAAGAGCAGCCUGAAACAACGUCGUGAAGCAAGAAACAACAGUGGCACUAAAAACAUACUUUACUUUUGUAAGUGCAAACUUCUACUUCCAUCCAGCGACCAAAUUAUAGGACUGCCUUCUGCAAGGAUUUUAAGAAAAGAGUUACCCCAAAUGCAGACUUCUACAUAUGAGAAACUCCAACAACCUGCUUGUCCUCUUGUACAAAUUCCUCAUAUGAACAAUCAUAUUUCCAUGUGUAAAAUAUAAAUACAAAAUACUGGUUAUUCUACCCAUACAAGACAAGCUGAAGAAUAAUAAUCUAACCUUUCAUGGAUCACCAUAAUAAAAGCUAUUGUAGAAAAUAAUUUGGGCAAUCAAUUUCUGUGAGACCAAAAAAAUGCAAGAAAAGACGAUUAGUUGGGUCAGAAUAUUGCACCACUCGAUCAUCUUGGCAUUAUAGUUGCAGCCAUCCAUAAAAAGCAUGAAUGCUUCACACUAAAGAGGCAUAUACAUCGGAAUUUAGAGGGGAAUCACCGGAUGUAGUGUGCUAUGAGGCUGUUGAACUUGGUUGUCAUGUUGUCACUGCGCU